ACCAGACUUGCCCUCCAAUUGCAUUGCGAGUAAUGGCUUGGGUUGCAAACAGUCCUAAAGCCAUACCCGUCUCGUGGAUACAGAGUCGGUAUUUUGUGUGACUACCUCCUCCAACCACAGAGAUUAGGGUAAUUUUCGCGCCUGCUGCCUUCCUUAGAAGUGGCAGCCGUGUCUCAGGCUACCUCUCCGGCGUCGGGCUUUCACCCUCCGUCACCCGUGAUUGUCACGACUAGAAGCAAUCAAGUAAACCAACAAUGAAAAGGCGAACGGGCUUUCCGUUGUCCCUCUACUUUCUUGCCUCGCCGGCGUAGAUCCUAUCCGGCCCCCGACCCGAAGGUGUGGGGGCGAGAUCAAAAAUCCCAUCCGGCGGGCCGACUCGCAACACGAUGGUUACCGAGUACUUGGCUUGGUAUUAGCAACAGAGUUUCUAUCGUUAUCACCAUUUGGUUUCAACGCGGCUCUACCUUCACAUCGAUAUACUGAGCCGUUCACGCUGAAUGCCGAUCCCCGUGAAGGGAUAACAAACAGGCGUUUGCAUGGCUUAAGCUUCAAAUUGAGAGUACCAAAACUGGCAGGAUCAACCAG
rnacentral:rRNA from 1 species